AUGCUCAACCUCCAUUGGCAUUUUCUGGUAUAUAAUGUAAUUUUUUUGCGGGGGAGGGGUAUAUAUGGCGGAGUAGCUUUUCUUUUCAACAGUGUUCUCGCCGAAUGGCGGCCCCGUGAAGCCAUGGCGUAUGCGCUGGCUUUGUUUCUUCCUCCCGGCUUGAUGCCUUUCGGGAGGCAGCUAUUCAGCUUCGGUAUGGAGUCUCCCUCUUCCGUCUUCGGCCGGAGAUGGAGUGGUGGCGGUCCGGUGAUCCCAAGUGGUCUUGUCCACGGUGAUGGCCGGACUGGAUCUGCGCUUGAGCUGGCAUUUGGACCCAAUUGUAAUCUUGAUUCUCUGUAUAGGGUCCUCCUUGCAAGUUUCAGGGACUAUGUUGUAGUUUUAUUUUCCUUUGAGUCCUGGUCUGAGCUUUGUACUGCAGCUGCUGGAAAAUAA
rnacentral:rRNA from 1 species